rnacentral:lncRNA from 1 species
UCCAUGUACACGAGCAGAUCUAGGAUUAGAAGUAUGUCAUAACUUGAAGACAACUCAAAAUUUAUUUUUAGGCUGCGUGAAUCUUUCAAGGUUCUGGAUUUCAGAAACAAACCCCACUGUAGCUCGUGUAAGCAAAAAAAAAAAGAAUUUUAUUAAAGGUUUGAAGUAGUUCUCAGAAUCUCAAUAAGGGCCAGAGAAUCAACCAUAGAUGCUCUGAGACAAGGAGCCACAUGCUCCUGGGGAUGGCUCCAGGGGACACCCCACUGUCGGUAGGUACAGACAGCCCAGCUCUUGCCCCCACUGGUGGACACCAGAAGCUGCUGCUAGAACCUCUGGCCACCGUCUCUGCAAGUUGCCACCUCUCCCUCUCCCUGCCACAACGGAUUCCUUGAGGUACCUCGCUCACUUCCGCAUGGAGGUCUCAGUCAGUUGGGACUGAUUGGCAGAACCUAGACCCUAUAUCCCCAAAUCUAACAUGUCAAGAAAAUUUCUGAAUUCUCGGGAGCACAAACUCUUUGAAAUUAGUACAUUCUCCAAAUAUAAAAUGGGUCCAAAUGUAAUGGAUGUCCAAAAAGUACGACAGAGGUCCCCUUCAGUGAAGUAGUUUAACCUCAGCCUCCCCCAGGCGCCUGGAGAGACGGAGUCACACCUUUCCAGAACUUGCCUCAUAGAUGACCAAGUUUUUGGCAUCCACAUACUACUUCACCAGUGGACAAAAACAGUUGUUAAGAAAAGACAUUUAAUUGCUCCCAUAUUUGGCAGCCCUCUGUCCCAUAUGUCUAAGGCUAAGGAUGCAACAGUGAGCAGAACAAAGAUCAUCCUUUAUGGAGCUUGCGUUUUAAUAGCAGAGCAAGAAGGCGUUAUGGUAUCAGGUGUGAUGGAGAGAACAUUCCGGUGCUCUGUUGGAUUCGGCAGGCCUUGAGUUCUGCUCAAAUCUCUCACAGUAAAUUGAUAACUGAUCUGCUUUUUUGCUUUUUAAAGAGCUUCCAAAGUGAAGUAACAGAUUAGCUACAGAUGGACAAGAAUCAGAUUGAUAUUAGACUUCUCGGUGGCAAUACUGGAUAGAAGAGACAACAGAAUGAUAUCUUCAAUGUUCUGAGGAAAAUUUCUUUCUAUGUAGUUUUCUCUUGAGGCAAACUCUCCCUCAGAUGGGAGCAAAUAAAAGCGUUUUUCGACAUGCAUGGGUAUGAAAGUCAACCUUCCACGAGUCCUCUCUGAAAGAGUUACUAAUUUCAAACAUCCCCUUUAUCAAACACCGUUUCAGUUUAUUUUUAGGUAUUUUCUUUUUUGCUAUUGCAAUUUGGGUCUUUAUUUCCAUUACGUUUUCUUUCUUUUUUUAUUGAAGUAUAAUUUACAUAUAUCCAUUAUGUUUCUCACAGGUUGUUGUUUGUCUAGACAAAGGCAGUUGAUUUUUACACACUGAUUUUGUAUCCAGCCAUCUCAUAAGUUCUCAUAUUGUUUGCAAUAGAUUUGUAACUGAGUUUCUUGGGUUUCCCAGGUAUACAGUUAUCUGUAAAUAGAAAUAAAU